GUCUUUUAAUUCUGUUACUGUGUGGAAGUAUAAAUCAGCAGUGAACCCACAAGUUACAGAAUUGGGAGAGGCUCUAACAAGAGCAUAAGAUGGACUCCUUCCUUUGCAGCCAUGGUAACCAUGAUCAUCACAAAAACGGGUUUCAUUGUCCUUCUUGCUAGAAGGUGGUG